rnacentral:misc_RNA from 1 species
CUAAAUUGCAUCAAGAAGCAUUCAGUCAUCCACUUUAGAUGUAGAACAGAAAUAGAGAUAGCUUGAAAGACUUCUUGUUUAUUGUACAGAACAGCAUGGAAAAUGGAGAAAAAAUAUCCCAUUUUCUAGCUGUAGUAUGAAAAACUUAAGAGCAGUUCCUCCAGAGAUUUUUGCUACAUCUAAAGAUUUUUAUACAACCCUAGCCCAGUACAUCACAUAUAUAGGGAUAUUUACAUGAACACAAAUCCAGAAAACCAAGUAAAACAAGAGGCAUCUGUUUGCAGUGUCACAAAAACAAAAUUAGUCACACUAGACCUUCCCUAAGUCCUUCAAAAACCGAAACUUGCCCCUCUACUUCCUUGUAUCGGUCAGUUAGCUGCUAACAUUGUUUGCAAUGAAGCUAGUGAUUAAAUUGAUCCAUUCAGGAUCGCAGUGAGUGAUGCAACCACAUACAGAUGAGUUGAACUUGACCUUGCUCUUAUGGUCUGCAUGCCACCACUUCAAGAUCUCUCAUGAAAGUUGAUGGAACGAGACAAGGCAGCAGGGUUUGCGCGCAAUAUCGGAGAGGUUUCAGCAACAUGCUUCUUUUCAUCACUCUUUGGUUGGAAGGCCUUGAACAGUCUUCCCCCAGUAAGGGUUUCAUUCUUUAUUCCAAGCGUUGCCCAUAUAGAACUUUUUGCAGCUUC